rnacentral:rRNA from 1 species
AUCUGCUGCUACACCACCCUGAACAUGCUUGAUCUUGUCUGAACUAGAAGCUAAGCAAGGUGAGGUCUACGUAGCACUUAGAUAGGAGACGAUGGUUUUAUUGUGUAGUUU